GGGCUAGCGUUGUUCGGAAUUACUGGGCGUAAAGCGCACGUAGGCGGCUUUGUAAGUUAGAGGUGAAAGCCCAGGGCUUAACCCUGGAAUUGCCUUUAAGACUGCAUCGCUAGAAUCGUGGAGAGGUGAGUGGAAUUCCGAGUGUAGAGGUGAAAUUCGUAGAUAUUCGGAAGAACACCAGUGGCGAAGGCGACUCACUGGACACGUAUUGACGCUGAGGUGCGAAAGCGUGGGGAGCAAACAGG
rnacentral:rRNA from 1 species